rnacentral:rRNA from 1 species
AGAGCGAACGCUGGCGGCAGGCCUAAUACAUGCAAGUCGAACGGACCCUUCGGGGUUAGUGGCGGACGGGUGAGUAACACGUGGGAACGUGCCCUUUGGUUCGGAACAACUCAGGGAAACUUGAGCUAAUACCGAAUGUGCCCUUUGGGGGAAAGAUUUAUCGCCAUUGGAGCGGCCCGCGUCUGAUUAGCUAGUUGGUGAGGUAAAGGCUCACCAAGGCGACGAUCAGUAGCUGGUCUGAGAGGAUGAUCAGCCACACUGGGACUGAGACACGGCCCAGACUCCUACGGGAGGCAGCAGUAGGGAAUCUUGCGCAAUGGGCGAAAGCCUGACGCAGCCAUGCCGCGUGAAUGAUGAAGGUCUUAGGAUUGUAAAAUUCUUUCAGCGGGGACGAUAAUGACGGUACCCGCAGAAGAAGCCCCGGCUAACUUCGUGCCAGCAGCCGC